GGGUUGUGAGGUUAAGCGACUAAGCGUACACGGUGGAUGCCCUGGCAGUCAGAGGCGAUGAAGGACGUGCUAAUCUGCGAAAAGCGUCGGUAAGGUGAUAUGAACCGUUAUAACCGGCGAUGUCCGAAUGGGGAAACCCAGUGCAAUUCGUUGCACUAUCGUUAACUGAAUACAUAGGUUAACGAGGCGAACCGGGGGAACUGAAACAUCUAAGUACCCCGAGGAAAAGAAAUCAACCGAGAUUCCCCCAGUAGCGGCGAGCGAACGGGGAGCAGCCCAGAGUCUGAAUCAGCUUGUGUGUUAGUGGAACGGUCUGGAAAGUCCGACGGUACAGGGUGAUAGUCCCGUACACCAAAAUGCACAGGCUGUGAACUCGAAGAGUAGGGCGGGACACGUGGUAUCCUGUCUGAAUAUGGGGGGACCAUCCUCCAAGGCUAAAUACUCCUGACUGACCGAUAGUGAACCAGUACCGUGAGGGAAAGGCGAAAAGAACCCCGGCGAGGGGAGUGAAAAAGAACCUGAAACCGUGUACGUACAAGCAGUGGGAGCACCUUCGGGUGUGACUGCGUACCUUUUGUAUAAUGGGUCAGCGACUUAUAUUCUGUAGCAAGGUUAACCGUAUAGGGGAGCCGCAGGGAAACCGAGUCUUAACUGGGCGUUAAGUUGCAGGGUAUAGACCCGAAACCCGGUGAUCUAGCCAUGGGCAGGUUGAAGGUUGGGUAACACUAACUGGAGGACCGAACCGACUAAUGUUGAAAAAUUAGCGGAUGACUUGUGGCUGGGGGUGAAAGGCCAAUCAAACCGGGAGAUAGCUGGUUCUCCCCGAAAGCUAUUUAGGUAGCGCCUCGUGAAUUCAUCUUCGGGGGUAGAGCACUGUUUCGGCUAGGGGGUCAUCCCGACUUACCAACCCGAUGCAAACUACGAAUACCGAAGAAUGUUAUCACGGGAGACACACGGCGGGUGCUAACGUCCGUCGUGAAGAGGGAAACAACCCAGACCGCCAGCUAAGGUCCCAAAGUCAUGGUUAAGUGGGAAACGAUGUGGGAAGGCACAGACAGCCAGGAUGUUGGCUUAGAAGCAGCCAUCAUUUAAAGAAAGCGUAAUAGCUCACUGGUCGAGUCGGCCUGCGCGGAAGAUGUAACGGGGCUAAACCAUGCACCGAAGCUGCGGCAGCGACACUAUGUGUUGUUGGGUAGGGGAGCGUUCUGUAAGCCUGCGAAGGUGACCUGUGAGGGUUGCUGGAGGUAUCAGAAGUGCGAAUGCUGACAUAAGUAACGAUAAAGCGGGUGAAAAGCCCGCUCGCCGGAAGACCAAGGGUUCCUGUCCAACGUUAAUCGGGGCAGGGUGAGUCGACCCCUAAGGCGAGGCCGAAAGGCGUAGUCGAUGGGAAACAGGUUAAUAUUCCUGUACUUGGUGUUACUGCGAAGGGGGGACGGAGAAGGCUAUGUUAGCCGGGCGACGGUUGUCCCGGUUUAAGCAUGUAGGCUGGUUAUCCAGGCAAAUCCGGAUAAUCAAGGCUGAGGUGUGAUGACGAGGCACUACGGUGCUGAAGUAACAAAUGCCCUGCUUCCAGGAAAAGCCUCUAAGCAUCAGGUAACAUCAAAUCGUACCCCAAACCGACACAGGUGGUCAGGUAGAGAAUACCAAGGCGCUUGAGAGAACUCGGGUGAAGGAACUAGGCAAAAUGGUGCCGUAACUUCGGGAGAAGGCACGCUGGUGUGUAGGUGAAGUCCCUGCGGAUGGAGCUGAGACCAGUCGAAGAUACCAGCUGGCUGCAACUGUUUAUUAAAAACACAGCACUGUGCAAACACGAAAGUGGACGUAUACGGUGUGACGCCUGCCCGGUGCCGGAAGGUUAAUUGAUGGGGUUAUCCGUAAGGAGAAGCUCUUGAUCGAAGCCCCGGUAAACGGCGGCCGUAACUAUAACGGUCCUAAGGUAGCGAAAUUCCUUGUCGGGUAAGUUCCGACCUGCACGAAUGGCGUAAUGAUGGCCAGGCUGUCUCCACCCGAGACUCAGUGAAAUUGAACUCGCUGUGAAGAUGCAGUGUACCCGCGGCAAGACGGAAAGACCCCGUGAACCUUUACUAUAGCUUGACACUGAACAUUGAGCCUUGAUGUGUAGGAUAGGUGGGAGGCUUUGAAGCGUGGACGCCAGUCUGCGUGGAGCCAACCUUGAAAUACCACCCUUUAAUGUUUGAUGUUCUAACGUUGGCCCCUGACCGGGGUUGCGGACAGUGUCUGGUGGGUAGUUUGACUGGGGCGGUCUCCUCCCAAAGCGUAACGGAGGAGCACGAAGGUUAGCUAAUCCUGGUCGGACAUCAGGAGGUUAGUGCAAUGGCAUAAGCUAGCUUGACUGCGAGCGUGACGGCGCGAGCAGGUGCGAAAGCAGGUCAUAGUGAUCCGGUGGUUCUGAAUGGAAGGGCCAUCGCUCAACGGAUAAAAGGUACUCCGGGGAUAACAGGCUGAUACCGCCCAAGAGUUCAUAUCGACGGCGGUGUUUGGCACCUCGAUGUCGGCUCAUCACAUCCUGGGGCUGAAGUAGGUCCCAAGGGUAUGGCUGUUCGCCAUUUAAAGUGGUACGCGAGCUGGGUUUAGAACGUCGUGAGACAGUUCGGUCCCUAUCUGCCGUGGGCGCUGGAGAAUUGAGGGGGGCUGCUCCUAGUACGAGAGGACCGGAGUGGACGCAUCACUGGUGUUCGGGUUGUCAUGCCAAUGGCACUGCCCGGUAGCUAAAUGCGGAAGAGAUAAGUGCUGAAAGCAUCUAAGCACGAAACUUGCCCCGAGAUGAGUUCUCCCUGAGACUUUAAGUCUCCUGAAGGAACGUUGAAGACGACGACGUUGAUAGGCCGGGUGUGUAAGCGCAGCGAUGCGUUGAGCUAACCGGUACUAAUGAACCGUGAGGCUUAACCUUACAACGCCGAAG
rnacentral:rRNA from 1 species